rnacentral:rRNA from 1 species
GCCCUCGAACGGUCUCCCCCGGUCGAGAGGCGCAGCCCGUGGUUGACGUCUUUUGGGAGAUUUGCCGUGCUCUCGCCUCUGCAGCGCGCGGUGAGUACGCGGCUGGCGACAGGUCACCCACCCGACCCGUCUUGAAACACGGACCAAGGAGUCUAACAUGUGCGCGAGUCAGUGGGACUCGAACAAGCCCACGGGCAGAACGAAAGCGAUGGUCGGGAUCCGCUGGCGCACCGACGGCCCGUCGGAGCGUGAGCGUACACGUUGGGACCCGAAAGACGGUGAACUAUUCCCGGGUAGGAUGAAGCCGGGGGAAACUCCGGUGGAGGUCCGCAGCGGUUCUGACGUGCAAUUCGAUCGUCGAACCCGGGUAUAGGGGCGAAAGACUAAUCGAACCGUCUAGUAGCUGGUUCCCUCCGAAGUUUCCCGCAGGAUAGCUGGCGCUCGGAGUCGCGUCCGGUAAAGCGAA